rnacentral:lncRNA from 1 species
UUUGUUUGUCUUGGGGUCAUUACAAAGCUCAGAAUCACUAAACCUUACUUUUGUCUACUAAGGACUUAAUUUUUAUUCCUUUGUCUGCUUAUAUCAAAUCUUCUUACUAACAUUUGUUUGAGUUUGAGCUACAUUUCACAGAACCUUUCUCACCGAGUAAGAACUUCUAGACCGACACGUCUUGAUCGACACAUAUGUCCUUCACAACAUGAUAAGUGUUCUCCUUGCAACAAACUACAAUGUCACGUAAGUUACAUGCCUUUUCAUUCUUGUCCAUAUAAAAUACCAGAUCAACUGUCUCAGCAGAACCACUGUUAGUAUUGAUGUGAUGAACUCGUAGCUUCUUUCCAGCCUCAUUAGAAUCUCCAGAAGAAUGGUUCCCGAAAAUCUCUUUGCAGCUCUCUACCGCAUGAUUACUGUCUGAAAGUUGAAAGCCCCUAGAUCCAAAAACAUGCAUAAACUAAUCCCCAUCAAACACAGCUUUAAAUAUAAAAAGCAGAAAACAGCUAAAGAUUCAACUACUAAAGUUAUUUGAAAGAUAAUUUUGCUUAUCUGCUCUCAUCCUUGUAAGAGAGUAAAUUAUGCAUAA